rnacentral:lncRNA from 1 species
ACAGAGCUGAAAACAUCAACCUCGUGGCAUUCCCAUCAACUCAUCAGCAUUUCUUAACUUGUUGAGUGUGGCUACAGCUCUUGAUGUGCCUUGCUGCCUCGCUUUAUUCGAGAUCAAGAGAUGCAUCAUUCUGGUGUCCCAGCACUGCUCUUUCCUGUUCUGCUCAAAGUCAAGUUUUGCAUGUACCCAGAAAAACAGCACAACAGUGGCACCUGUACCGUGAACAUAAUGGACAUGUUUAAAUGCUUAAGGAAAAAAUUCUUAUUGAUACAUGACUUCCUCACUCCCCCACCCCCACACAAAUUUUCCCUGUUUAGGCAAAAAUACCAAAUCUGUGCAACUGCCUCCUCCCUGACUCCUCACUGCUUUAUAAUGUAAAAUAAAGUUGAGUCACUCUUUACUUUUUAAAGGUAG